rnacentral:rRNA from 1 species
GUGCUAAGGUAGCGCAAUAAUGUGCCCCUUAAUUAGGGGAUAGAAUGAAAGAAUCAACACAAAACACACUGUCUCUAUUUUAACCCAAAAACUUUAUCUUUAAGUGAAAAAGCUUAAAUAAUAUAAAAAGACAAGAAGACCCUAAAAGCUUUAUAACAACAAUGAUUAAACAAAAUCAUAGUUCUUUAGUUGGGAAGACAUCAAACUAACAAGACGUUUGACCACAAAAGACCAAGUCUAAAAAUUUAACCUACAAAAGAAUAUAAGUAAGCUACUUUAGGGGUAACAGGCUAAUAUUCUUUAAGAGUACACAUUGACAAGAAUGCUUGGCACCUCGAUGUUGGCUUAGGAAACCACUUUUAUGCAAAAGUAAAAAUAGGGGGUUUGUUCAACCCUUAAACUCCUACGUGAUC